rnacentral:rRNA from 1 species
AGUGAACGCUGGCGGUAGGCCUAACACAUGCAAGUCGAACGGCAGCACAGAGGAGCUUGCUCCUUGGGUGGCGAGUGGCGGACGGGUGAGGAAUACAUCGGAAUCUACUCUGUCGUGGGGGAUAACGUAGGGAAACUUACGCUAAUACCGCAUACGACCUACGGGUGAAAGCAGGGGACCUUCGGGCCUUGCGCGAUUGAAUGAGCCGAUGUCGGAUUAGCUAGUUGGCGGGGUAAAGGCCCACCAAGGCGACGAUCCGUAGCUGGUCUGAGAGGAGGAUCGGCCACACUGGAACUGAGACACGGUCCAGAAUCCUACGGGAGGCAGCAGUGGGGAAUAUUGGACAAUGGGCGCAAGCCUGAUCCAGCCAUACCGCGUGGGUGAAGAAGGCCUUCGGGUUGUAAAGCCCUUUUGUUGGGAAAGAAAUCCAGCUGGCUAAUACCCGGUUGGGAUGACGGUACCCAAAGAAUAAGCACCGGCUAACUUCGUGCCAGCAGCCGCAGUAA